UGUGUGUUUUCUGUACUUGUCUCACGUUGAGCCACACGCACAAUACCUGCAGAUGAAAAGGUUUUGUUCGUUCGGCUCGCGUUACGCAGAUGCAGACACGC
ensembl:miRNA